rnacentral:rRNA from 1 species
UACGUAGGGGGCUAGCGUUGUCCGGAAUCAUUGGGCGUAAAGCGCGUGUAGGCGGCUUUGCAAGUCGGGUGUGAAAGCCCUCAGCUCAACUGAGAAAGUGCGCCCGAAACUGCAGAGCUUGAGUGCCGGAGAGGGUGGCGGAAUUCCCCAAGUAGAGGUGAAAUUCGUAGAUAUGGGGAGGAACACCGGUGGCGAAGGCGGCCACCUGGACGGUAACUGACGCUGAGACGCGAAAGCGUGGGGAGCAAACAGG